rnacentral:rRNA from 1 species
CAGUCGCCACGGUAAUACAGAGGGUGCGAGCGUUAAUCGGAUUUACUGGGCGUAAAGCGUGCGUAGGCGGCUUGGUAAGUUAGAGGUGAAAGCCCGGAGCUCAACUCCGGAAUCGCCUUUAAGACUGCCGAGCUAGCAGGUGAGAGAGGUAAGUGGAAUUCCGAGUGUAGAGGUGAAAUUCGUAGAUAUUCGGAAGAACACCAGUGGCGAAGGCGGCUAACUGGUCCAUAACUGACGCUGAGGUGCGAAAGCGUGGGGAGCAAACAGGAUUAGAUACCCCAGUAGUCCCUGUCUCUUAUAC